rnacentral:rRNA from 1 species
GACGAACGCUGGCAGCGUGCUUAACACAUGCAAGUCGAGCGGUAAGGCCCUUUCGGGGGUACACGAGCGGCGAACGGGUGAGUAACACGUGGGUGACCUGCCCUUAGCUCUGGGAUAAGCCUGGGAAACUGGGUCUAAUACCGGAUAUGACUCCAUAACGCAUGUUGUGGGGUGGAAAGCCUUGUGCGGCUAGGGAUGGGCCCGCGGCCUAUCAGCUUGUUGGUGGGGUGAUGGCCUACCAAGGCGACGACGGGUAGCCGGCCUGAGAGGGCGACCGGCCACACUGGGACUGAGACACGGCCCAGACUCCUACGGGAGGCAGCAGUGGGGAAUCUUGCGCAAUGGGCGAAAGCCUGACGCAGCGACGCCGCGUGGGGA